rnacentral:rRNA from 1 species
UACGUAGGGUGCAAGCGUAAUCGGAAUUACUGGGCGUAAAGCGUGCGCAGGCGGUUAUGUAAGACAGAUGUGAAAUGCCCGGGCUUAACCUGGGAACUGCAUUUGUGACUGCAUGGCUAGAGUUUGGCAGAGGGGGGUAGAAUUCCACGUGUAGCAGUGAAAUGCGUAGAUAUGUGGAGGAACACCGAUGGCGAAGGCAGCCCCCUGGGUCAAGACUGACGCUCAUGCACGAAAGCGUGGGGAGCAAACAGG